AUGACAAAACGCCGUGCGAGCAAUAAAAAGCCUUCGGGUUUGAACAAAUCACUUGGUAAUUCGCUUAGCAACGAUCGUGAGAAAACUAGGAAAAGUCAUCAACGUGCAAAGUACGAUGGAAACGACAUUGAGAAUCCAGCUUUCAUGGAACACGAAGUCAAUCAUUACAUCGACUCGGUGACAGACGAAACUAGUUUGGAGGAGUUUUUGGCUAAAGCAGAACUUGCUGGAACUGAAUUCACCGCCGAGAAGGAGCAGUUCAAGAUUAUUGAAAAGAACUCCGCUAUUGUCGUCCCAACAAGGCUGGACUACCGUGCCAAUCUUGACCUUCAAAAGGAGAACGAGCACCGUCUUCGGAUUCCAAGACGUCCAGCAAAGGAGCUCUGGGAGAACAUGGAGGAUUUGACUAAGCUGGAAAACGAAGCAUUCCUUCAAUGGAGGUGGACGGACUGGUACUGACUCCUUUCGAGCGAAAUCCUGACAUGUGGAGAGAGCUCUGGAGAGUUGUCGAGAAGAGCGACAUCAUUGUUCAAAUCGUGGACGCUCGAAAUCCAUUGCUGUUCCGCAGUAAAGAUUUGGAUGACUACGUCAAGGAAGUUGAUCCCGCCAAGCAGAUUCUUCUUCUCGUCAAUAAGGCAGAUCUUCUGAAACCGGAACAACAGGCCAGCUGGAGGGAAUACUUCGAAAAGGAAAAUAUCAAAGUAAUUUUCUGGUCGGCUAUCGAUGAAGUCUUAGAUCCAAUCGAUGAAGACGCAGUAGAAACAUCAAAUCCAUCAACUUCCACACAUAUGUUCGUAACGAACAAGGAUGAGCUGAUUGCGAAGUUCAAGGAACUUGGUCACGUAUCAGAUGAGCCGUCAGCAAAGCCAGUCAUGGUUGGAAUGGUUGGCUAUCCUAACGUUGGAAAAAGUUCUACGAUCAACAAGCUGGCUGGUGGAAAGAAGGUUUCAGUAUCAGCAACACCCGGAAAGACGAGACAUUUCCAAACCAUUCACAUCGACAGCCAACUAUGCCUUUGUGAUUGUCCCGGACUUGUCAUGCCUUCUUUCUCUUUUGGACGAAGCGAAAUGUUUUUAAACGGUAUUCUUCCCGUUGAUCAAAUGCGUGACCACUUCGGCCCAACGUCGCUUCUACUCUCCCGUGUUCCAGUUCAUGUCAUCGAGGCGACAUACUCGAUUAUGCUGCCAGAGAUGCAAAGUCCUUCUGCAAUCAACUUGCUUAACUCGCUCGCGUUCAUGAGAGGAUUUAUGGCGUCGUCGGGAAUUCCGGAUUGUUCCAGAGCCGCGAGGCUGAUGUUCAAGGAUGUUGUCAGUGGAAAAUUGAUUUGGGCAGCCGCACCUCCCGGAGUUGAGCAAGAAGAGUUUGACCGAAUCUCCUAUCCAGACAAGAAGACUCGUGAUAUUGGUCGGGUGCAGAUGGAAAAGCUUGCCAAGCUUCAGCUUCUCGAGGGUGAUGAGUUGAAGGGAUCACAAUUUGACUCUCAACACUUUGUCGGAUCAAUCGGAGUUGCUCAUGUCAGAGAUUCAAAAGCAUUGCCUCAAACGUUAGGAACCGUCAUUCCAACUGCUCCUACCGAAAACAAUGGAAAGAAGCAUUACAAGGGAAAGAAGGACAAAUUGAGGAGGAUUUAUAAUGAAUAA
rnacentral:misc_RNA from 1 species